rnacentral:ncRNA from 1 species
GUAAAGGCAAAGAAGGGGAGGAGUAACCUGCCGGUUCCCCUCAGAGAGGGAGACCCUUUGGGUGGAAGGUCUUCCGGGAAGGCUGCGGGAGAAAGUCGCCCUGGAGCUGUCGCUUCGAUGGUCUGGGCUUAAGACCGGAGGGGUGACCGGGCAUGCCCGUUACAGCAGCGAGAGUACGGUAUUCAACAGGUUUGAGUACCGGAGUAAGGUGGUACCACGGAAGUUGACUCCUUUCGUCCUUAUG